rnacentral:lncRNA from 1 species
CUGAAAUAUUCUACUCUUGACAUGUCUUUAUUUAUCAAUUAAAUAGAACAUUCUUGACAUUUACAUUAAAUUUAACAUUGAAAUUCUGUAUAAUAUUAAAAUUCUAAACAAUUUUUAAGUCAUAAGAAACGAGUGACUGGUGAAAAAUAAUGUUCUUCCAAUUCUUGAACCAAUGCAUACAAACAUCAUUAACUUAAGUCUUCUGUGCACGAAUUUAUCAUUUUUUUCGUGUAAAUUUCGUAUAAUCGUCAAAUUUUUUUCAAUCGAUCAGUGUUGUUGUGAAAAUAUGGCAGGUAAUUAAAGUUCGUCUUUUGAAGCCGAAGUUUAACGAUUGUCACCUGUUUGUCAUCAAUCAACAAAAAAUCAACAAAAAAGCAUGGAAAUUGAGCAUGUGUUUAACAUGUAAAUUCAGAUAAUAGUUUAUUUUAAGGACAUCCAUGGGUAUUGUGAUCACCGGAUUUUUACGAGAUGGGUCACACUGAAGUCACUUUGCAUAUGGAAAAUAUGUCGGGAGAAGGAAGCAAUUAAAAUAAAGUAAACUUCUUCUAAAUAUGAAUAAAUUAAAGAAUUUUCAUCAGAAAAAAAGUAUAUUUAUAUAAGUUUUAUAAUGAAAACUAUCCAUUGAGUUAUAAAAAAACAUAUGCAUUAUUUUUUUGAUUUGAGGUUUCUUAUGACUUUAAUGAUAGGAAAUUCUUGUUUUACAAAAUUUAUGUUUUGAAAAUUUCUACUGAAAUUGAUGCAUGCAUUUAUUAAUGCAGUUCUUUGUUCACUGGCAAAACUUUGUGAAAUCUUAUUAAUGUGAUUGCAAAAACUAAAUGAAGCAAAAUCACCACUGAAAUUGCAAACCUGUUACUGACACUUUUUUAUACAAAUUUCCAAAAAAAAUUGCAAUUAUUUCUGAAUUUACAGUAUUUAAAACAGACUAAAACUAAUAGUACAAAUAUUAUGUGCAGACGAUUUUAAGGGUGUAACAAUAACAAUGACAUUGAAUGGUUUUAAAGUUUUAUACCUAUAUAUAUUGAUACUUUGAUUUGAUGAUCUUUGGUCAUAUCUAUAUGUGAUACAUCUUACUUACAUUGAUGUUUUUAUUUUGAUAAUAAUAUGUCAUUUGUAAAGUAAACAAAGAAUGAACCAUGCAG